rnacentral:rRNA from 1 species
GAUGAACGCUGGCGGCGUGCCCAAUACAUGCAAGUCGAGCGAACGGACGAGAAGCUUGCUUCUCUGAUGUUAGCGGCGGACGGGUGAGUAACACGUGGAUAACCUACCUAUAAGACUGGGAUAACUUCGGGAAACCGUAGCUAAUACCGGAUAAUAUUUUGAACCGCAUGGUUCAAAAGUGAAAGACGGUCUUGCUGUCACUUAUAGAUGGAUCCGCGCUGCAUUAGCUAGUUGGUAAGGUAACGGCUUACCAAGGCAACGAUGCAUAGCCGACCUGAGAGGGUGAUCGGCCACACUGGAACUGAGACACGGUCCAGACUCCUACGGGAGGCAGCAGUAGGGAAUCUUCCGCAAUGGGCGAAAGCCUGACGGAGCAGCGCCGCGUGAGUGAUGAAGGUCUUCGGAUCGUAAAACUCUGUUAUUAGGGAAGAACAUAUGUGUAAGUAACUGUGCACAUCUUGACGGUACCUAAUCAGAAAGCCACGGCUAACUACGUG